rnacentral:rRNA from 1 species
AUAAACCGCGAUAGGUCAUCACUUCUGGAAUGGGUAAUGACUUAAAUCUAUAUGGCCCCUGAAUUGAACUGCGGCCAAUCAGGCUGUUGGUGAGGUAAUGGCCCACCAAACCUGUAACCGGUACGGGCUCUGAAAGGAGGACCCCGGAAAUGGGCACUGAAACAAGGGCCCAGGCCCUAUGGGGCGCACCAGGCGCAAAACCUCUGCAAUAGGCAAAAGCUUGACAGGUUUACUCUGAUUGAUUUCCGUUAAGGAAAUCUUUUGGCACCUCUAAAAAUGGUGCAAAAUAAGGGGUGGGCAAUUCUGGUGUCA